rnacentral:rRNA from 1 species
UGUUUCUCGAACAAUGUUAUGAGAAAUAAAGCCUGCCCAAUGAUUAAUUGAAUGGCCGCAGUAACUUGACUGUGCGAAGGUAGCAUAAUCAAUAGUCUUUUAAUUGAAGUCUGGAAUGAAUGGUUUUAUGAAAAAUUAGCUGUUUCUGAAAAAAUAAUGAAUUUUUAUGUUAGGUGAAGAUACUUAAAUAUCUUUAAAAGACGAGAAGACCCCAUCAAGUUUAAUAUUUAAUUGAAUUUUAUGAAAUUUAUAUUUGAAAUUAAUAUUUAAUUGGGGCAAUUGUUAAACAGGAAAAACUUUAAAUUAAAAUUAUACUUAUGAGUAAAUAAUUGAAUGAUCCAAUAUUUUGAUUAAAAGAAAAAAUUACUGUGGGGAUAACAGCGUAAUUUUACUUUAGAGUUCUUAUCGAUAGUAAAGAUUGCGACCUCGAUGUUGGAUUAAGAUACCCUCUAGGUGUAGCCUUUUAGUAGGGUGGU